rnacentral:tRNA from 1 species
UGGCCCAGUGGUUAGGGCGCUGGAUCUCAAAAACAGGGUGGUGGGUUCGAUUCCCAC